AGCGAACGCUGGCGGCAGGCUUAACACAUGCAAGUCGAACGGGCUUCUUCGGAAGUCAGUGGCAGACGGGUGAGUAACACGGGGGAACGUGCCCUUCGGUUCGGAAUAACUCAGGGGAACUUGAGCUAGUACCGGAUACGCCCUUAUGGGGACAUGUUGACUGCCGGAGGAUCGGCCCGAGACUGAUUAGCUGGUUGGUGGGGUAACGGCGUACCAAGGGGACGAUCAGUAGCUGGGCUGAGAGGCUGAGCAGCCACACUGGGACUGAGACACGGUGCAGACUACUGCGGGAGGCAGGAGUGGGGAAUAUAGGAAUAUGGGCUCAAUGCUGAACCAGCCAGGCCGCGAGAGUGAUGAAGUCCGGAGAGUUGUAAAGCUCUUUUGUCCGGGACGAUAAUGACGGUACCGGAAGAAUAAGCACCGGCUAACUUCGUG
rnacentral:rRNA from 1 species